rnacentral:rRNA from 1 species
AUUGAACGCUGGCGGCAUGCUUUACACAUGCAAGUCGAACGGUAACAGGCCUUCGGGUGCUGACGAGUGGCGCACGGGUGAGUAAUGCAUCGGAACGUGCCCAGAGGUGGGGGAUAACGCAGCGAAAGCUGUGCUAAUACCGCAUGUGAUCUGAGGAUGAAAGCGGGGGACCAGGCAGCAAUGUUUGGCCUCGCGCCUUUGGAGCGGCCGAUGUCAGAUUAGGUAGUUGGUGAGGUAAAGGCCUACCAAGCCGACGAUCUGUAGCUGGUCUGAGAGGACGACCAGCCACACUGGGACUGAGACACGGCCCAGACUCCUACGGGAGGCAGCAGUGGGGAAUUUUGGACAAUGGGCGCAAGCCUGAUCCAGCAAUGCCGCGUGCGGGAAGAAGGCCUUCGGGUUGUAAACCGCUUUUGUACGGAACGAAAAGGCUCUGGCUAAUACCUGGGGCUGAUGACGGUACCGUAAGAAUAAGCACCGGCUAACUACGUG